UACGUAGGGCGCGAGCGUUGUCCGGAAUUAUUGGGCGUAAAGAGCUCGUAGGCGGCCUGUUGCGUCCGCUGUGAAAGCCCGGGGCUUAACCCCGGGUCGGCAGUGGAUACGGGCAGGCUAGAGGUAGGUAGGGGAGACUGGAAUUCCUGGUGUAGCGGUGAAAUGCGCAGAUAUCAGGAAGAACACCAAUGGCGAAAGCAGCUCUCUGGGACGGUACUGACGCUGAGACGCGAAAGCGUGGGGAGCGAACAGG
rnacentral:rRNA from 1 species